CCUACGGGAGGCUGCAGUGGGGAAUAUUGCGCAAUGGGCGAAAGCCUGACGCAGCGACGCCGCGUGCGGGAUGAAGGUCUUCGGAUCAUAAACUUCUGUCAGCAGGGAAGAACGGUCACUGUGCUAAUCAGCAGUGAAUUGACGGUACCUGCAAAGGAAGCACCGGCUAACUCCGUGCCAGCAGCCGCGGUAAUACGGAGGGUGCGAGCGUUAAUCGGAAUUACUGGGCGUAAAGCGCUCGUAGGCGGUAUGUCAAGUCAAGGGUGAAAUCCCCGCGCUCAACGUGGGAACUGCCUUUGAAACUGGCAACCUGGAGUGUGUGAGAGGAUAGUGGAAUUCCAGGUGUAGGAGUGAAAUCCGUAGAUAUCUGGAGGAACAUCAGUGGCGAAGGCGGCUUACUGGACUGUAACUGACGUUGAGGCUCGAAAGCGUGGGGAGCAAACAGGAUUAGAUACCCCAGUAGUC
rnacentral:rRNA from 1 species